CGUUUUCAAAUUGGUCUACAUUAAGGUCCAAAGGGUCCAAAAUUAAACUUAGUUCGAUUUUAACAAAAAUUGAAUCCUUGGGGUUCUUUGAUAUGCUGAAUCUAAAAAUGUACUUAGAUUUUUGAUUAUUGGCCCAGUUUUCAAGUUGGUCCAAAUCGGGUCCAAAAUUAAACUUUGUUUGAUUUCAUCAAAAAUUGAAUAA
rnacentral:lncRNA from 1 species